rnacentral:tRNA from 1 species
GCCUUCGUGAUGAAAUGGUAUACAUAUUGACUUCAAAAGUCAACGCUUUAAGCAUGUCGGUUCAAGUCCGACCGAGGGCA